UGAAAACACAUGAGUGAGGUUAACAUCUGGGUACAGAGGAAUAGGAUCAGGGAAUGAAACCCCCACAAGUUUCCUCGGAAGUGGAAGGUAAAACACUACGGCCACUUUCAGGGAGCUGUGCCAGAAAAUGAGGUUGUGUCAUUGCACGUUUGUUUGGAGGAUUGAACAGCUGCAUCUCUUUGAAAGAGUGCUGAAGCAGACCUUGCACUGGGACCAUUACUUGCUAUGAAGGCAAAGAAACUGGGGCAAGAGUCUCACGUGGGGUGGCUGGAAGUGAAACUGCUGCUUAGAAGGAACAACUGAGACAGUGUCUGUUUUGAUUAUGGUUAAUUAUGGAGCUGGCACAGACAUUCAAGGAUAAUUCAACAAUGGCCUGAGCAAAAUAUAAGCAGGGAAGUUCCUUUUCAUUUGUGUUUUUCCUUUGUGGUAGCUGCAUUUUGUCACCAUUGGAGAAGAUACAAAAAUGGUAGAGGAAAAGUCAUUCCUACUUUCCAAACUAGCUCCUGCAUAAGGAUAUUGACUAUGUAAAAUAUUGGGUGCCUGUGUAGUCAAGGAAGCACUUGAACAAAUCAGUCAGCAGACAUUGGCACAGACAGACAGGAGGGCUGACUUGUUCCCUGGAGGUGCCAACUGCCCUGAGCCCUGGGCAGGCUGGGCCAAGGCACUCUGUCCAGCCAGGGUGACAGAGAUUGUGUAGGGUGAAAUCUACCCUUAGUGGAUUCAGGUUUUCCUGAAAAACAACCAGGUUUUCCAAACUGCAGAAGGAGUCUCCUUAUUUUAUUUAUUGUUUCAUGUUGGGUAAGUUAAAUGAAUGUCAAAGAUUUGUUUUUCAAUUCAAAUAUUUCUUCAUUUGCUGGCAUCUGUUAUCAUCUCUAGUCAGUUAUUAUAAAAAAAUUAGCAAACAAGACCCUUAGCUUUCCUUAUUUGACAGAGGGUAGAACAUUUCUAAUGAAUCAAUCUUCAUCAUCCACUGUAUUUAGCAUCACACUGGCACAGGACAUUGACAUUCUCUGUUUCAAAGACUUAAGUUCCUCAUCACCUGUGUAAAAGAAAGAAUAAGGUAUUUUUCCUUUUAAUCUUUGACAGUUUAAAUUAAACUGUGUCUCUGGCUGUCUCACAGACAAGGCUCUUUUAAGACAUCAGAUAAGGGCCAGUGUUUGAAGAACAUUAAUUAUAGGUUUAGAUGAUAAAAACUGGCUAGAGUAGGCUAAUUUUUACAAAAGACCUUAGCCUGUCAUGUUCUUGGAAAAAGAAAAAAGAGAAACAAGAAAUAAACCAAAAAGCCUCAGCACCCCAGACUGAAAGAAUCACAUGCAAUGCAGAGAAAAAACUAUACCUCUCCCCUUUGCUCAAAGCUCAUUUUAUUGGCAAAUUUGAAAUUACAAAAAUUACUCGACCCUUGCUUAGAUGAACAUCAAAAUUUUUUUCCCCCUAAGUAUAAUAAUCAUCAGGUCCAACUUCCUAACCACUUUAGGGCUGACCAAAAAUCAAAGCAUGUUACUGAGGGCAUUGUCCAUAUGCCUCUUAAACACUGGAAUUUAAGGCUAAGGACUUUCAGAGUAAGAGUUUGUUUCCUGUGCAUAAUAUAACAGACUAGGAUAAAUGUAAACAUAACUGCAAGAAAAGAAAAUUUUUCUUGUGCUUUUACCUUUCAUUUCCAAUUUUUGGUUGAAGAGCUCAUUCUGGAUAAAUCCUUUUCUAAUGCAAUGCUGUAUAACCUUGUCCAUGGAUCCCUGCCUACAGAUGUUGCCUCUAUCUAAUAGAGUGUCAGAUAUGAUAAACUUCAAGGUUCUUCUUUCACUUGAGAAGAACACUGUAAGCCACUCAAUUUCCCCUGUGUUUGUCUGCUGAGCACCAUUUUAGUGUAAUCCUGUUUAAAACAUGCAUGAAAUAUAGUAGAGAUAAGCAGAGAUUUGGGACUGAACAACAUAAAUUAUUAAAAGCACUGAAAAUCUCUGGAUGCAUCCAAUCUAAAAAUAUAAUUUAAGUAAAGAAGCAAUCCAUAACAUUUCUCAGAAAAAAAUAAAUUGUACAGGAAUUGUUGCAAUUACUCUUUCCUGAUAUAUAAAGAACUGGUGAAUUCCAGCAAGGUUAGAAAGCAAGACAUUUAAAACUGUUUUUUUUCCCCAGAAUAAUCAAUGCAAGAAAUUAAUCUUCUAUGCCUCCCUUUUGAUGUAUACAGGUUAGUGUAUUUUAGAAAAGGACAAAAUAUACACAGAGAUGCUAAAAAAUGAAAUUUCAGAGUCAAAAGCCUGGAUUGUGUUCCCUUAGUGCACAGAGUCAAUACUGGGUAUCAAUUAAAAAAUUAGCUGGGGGGAAGCUGUUGUACAACUGGCUGUUUAGGGGAUUCAGGAGUAGAGUAGAAAUUGUAAUACUUUGCUGCCAUUCUGGCCCAGAAUAGAAAUUUCAAUGCAUAAGGUGAAAUGUUGCAGCCCAAAGGGAGAUUAAGGAGUCAGAGGUAUACCUGAAUUGAUGGCACUUCAGAGAGGAAAGCCUUACUUUUGCAGAGAUUUUUCAAAGCGUAGAUCUUCCGCAUCUUGAUCUUUUCUUGGAGGCCCAGAGUCUCUUUUGAAAGGCUUGUCAGACUCAGCAGGGUUUCCUGUGAUUCACACUGGUACGAGCCAAAUGCAAACAGACCAAGGACUGUCAUCAGAUGUUUCUUACACAAAUGACUCUGGCAGAUUUCGGGCGUCACUCAGGCUCCCACAGCUCCUCAUUGCUUUUGGUUGUAGGAACCUACCUGACAGCUGAGCUUCCAAAGCAGAGUACCAGAGCACCUGAGCCUUGGGACCCAGUGAAAUUUCCUGACUUAUUUCCCUUAUUUCUCAUGAAAUAAGUUACAUUAGUCUCACUCCAAACACCCAUCCUCCAAAACAAAACCAAAACCCACCCCCGAUUAAUAAUUAUAAUAAGAAAUUCUAUGCUGGUAUAGCUUAUUCCUAGAAAAUACUGUCAUUUACAUUGGAAAUGCAAUUUUAAAAAUCCACACAGCUUUAUGUGUGGGUAUUCACAAAUUUGUUGGAUGAAAAUGUUGACUUAGAGCAGCUGUAUAUUAUACAGUGAAUAGGUAUACUGUUUUGAUUACAAUUCUUUUCUAUCUAGUUUAAAGGAGAUUUCAGGGACUUUAGGAAUAACCACACAAUAAGUUGUAGUGGUCGUGCAAAGACUGUAAGGGUCCAGAUACUCUUUAAUUAUAACUCAUGACCAAUUAAAGUGAUUAGUAAAUUUCCCUUAAAGGAAAUGCUUUCAUUCUGGAGGAAAAGAGAAUUUGGAGAAACUUGAAUGACUAUGGUAGAAACAGGUUUUGAUGGUAUUCUUGUUGUUGUCCUAUGGGUUUCUUUUGUUUCCAGAGAAAGUAUUUGGAGAUAGAGGGGUGAAUGUUGAAUUCAUACUGAUUAUUGUUUUGGGAAUUUAUCAGAUUUUUCUUUUCCUUUUGUUUUUUUUUUUUUCUUUCUUCCCCUGACAUUUAGAAGAUGCUAAGCCCAUGCAAGUCUUGGUUUCGAUGUGGUGAAUUUCACAGCUUCUUAAGCACUUCCCUCUCCUCCUUGAGACAUCUGUUUUCCAGAAAAAGGGAAAGCUUUGCUUUUUCCUUCCUUCAUUCAUAUGUAGUGGUGUUUGUGAAAGGAGACUUGGUUAAUGAGAGCUGCAAUGUGAAAAUGUUCUCUGCAGUGUUGUACUUGGGCAUAUGUUUCUACUCACUGAGAAAAAAAAUAAGGAAAAAGGAAAAAAUAAAGAGACUAUAAUAAAGAAAACAAUUACUAGCAAAACGAAGGUGUUUCCAGAUGUUUCCAAAAUUAAAAUAUUGUUCAACAUGGGCAAUGAUCACACUGAGAAAGACUAAGCUGUUCCUUGCUCAGAUUAGUCUAAAAUUACUAUGAACACAUCUAAAGUAAGCUUUCAUCCUCACUCAAGGAUAUUAUAUGCAAUUAUGUUAUUUGACUGAAUUAUGGGCUCUAAAUCUGAGGGGUUUAUUCACAAAAAGUACUUUAAUGGGUAUAAAAAGAGAUGGAACUUUUAACGCUAUUAUGAAGCUAUUUCAGAAAAUAUGAAUUAGUGAAUUUUGCUCAUGCCAAGAUUUUAUUUUACUGACUCACUUCUAUAUUGCCACAGAAUACAGUGACAAUUCAAAAAGUAGGAAAAAUAAAAAAGGUUUGGUUGAAUUAGGCAGAAGUAUUUAACAAUACGGAAUUAAUGGUUCAGAAUAGUGAAAUAAAUAAUGUUACAAAAAAUUUACAUGUAUCCUCUCAUGGAUAUUUUAUAUAAAGAUUUAACAUUUCUUGUUAAAAAAUUGUGUUCAGUAUCUCUUGCCCAGAUGUUCAUGCAAGUUCAAAGUGUUGAAAUUGGACCCAUCCUUUGUUUUUACAUUUUUAAUUUUUACCGGUAUUGUUCUGAACAUAUUCUUUUCAAACUGCAACAUUUAUGCAUAACUUUUUUAUAGUUCAUACCAAAUCUUGGCUACAGAUGCUAUAAUUUGAUAUACUCUAACCCUAAACACUUGUGUUUCCAUAGUACUUUCAGUAAUUCUGUGUAUUAAAAAUAUUCAGGCAAAAGAAAAAAAAAAAGAACUACAGUCGAAAAAUUGUUUUGAAAAUUAUAUUGGUCAUUGGACAGACAUCCUGUGCACAUUUAUUUAAUUUAAUGUUCUGUGAGUCUGUAAUCUGCAUGAAUCUUUAGUAUAAAUCAUGCUUUUUCUGUCCUUUAAGAAUCUCCUUGUAAAGGUGAACAAAUGCUAUUGAAAUUUGAAUUUUGGAUUUUGGUUUCCAAAAAUUCUGGCUAGUUUUUCACCCAUCUGGAAAUGUGAACAGUACGUCAGUAAGAAUUUAGCAUACAUAUGUUACUCAUAUAAAUGCUUUCUUCAUAUUAUAGGAUUUUACAAUUGAGAAAUACAGUUUUCAAAAUGUUUGCCAAACUUUGACUCUUUCCAUUACAGCUUAGGUGCAGAUGUGACAUUACUGACACAAGUUUGAAUGCUGUGUCUGUGGUGGGCUGACCCCAGCUGUCAACUCAGACCCCAUUCAGUCACUCUCUUACUCCUUCCCAAGCAGGCUGAGGGAGGAUAAAAGUGAGAAAAAACUCUUGGAUUAAAUAAACACUCUAGUAAGCAAAAGGGGAGGGGUGGGGGGAAGAAGAAAAGAAAAGAAGUCAUGCUAAAAUCCAGCCAUAACCAACAUCAGAGCAAUGCCCUGACAUUCCCCAGGCAAUGGUUGUUCCCUCUCCAUUUUAUUGCUGAGCACGUUAUGGGAUAUAGGGAGCAUCCCUUUGGUCAGCUGGGGUCAGCUCUCAUGACUGACCAAACCUCCCUGACUCUCUCUGACUGUCAGUCCUUGCCCACCUCAGCCUCCUCUCUGCGGCAGCACAGUGACAAACUGGGAUGGCCUUGACACCAACUAGCUGAAACAUGGAUGUGUUAUCAGCACUUUCUUGGUCACCAGUCAAAAACCAUCCAGCUGUGAAGAAAAUUAACUCCAUCCCAACCAGACUCAGAGCAAUGUGGAUGUAGAGAACACAUUUCAGGCACUUGCAUGAUUGCAGAUCCAAUCCUUUAGCAAAAUUAGUGAUUAUUUAUUUAUUUUUAAAUAGUUUCUAAUUCUCUUUAAAAUUGGAAACUCACUCUCUAAUUCUGCAAUGGCCUGAGCAUGUACCUGGCUUAGUUAAUAUGCCACCUUUUAGAAUGUUUGCUGCUCUCUCAUUGAUUCUAGCAGGAGCCAGAACAGACCUGACCAUCAUCAGUGUCCUUUACAAAAACAGAGGCCAAGAGAGCUGUCAUUCAAGAAAUGGAUGGAAGGAGAAGUCAAGGAACAUCUCUUGAAUAGUUUGAUCUCCUCCUCUACUUGAAAGGAGGUAGCAGUGACACCAAGUAGUAUACCUGUCAAAUAGUCAAAAGAGCUGAAGAUGGGUCAAAUUCCUCUUUUCCCAUUAAAACAGAAUUAUUUUGAAGCCUCAAAUGCAAAGCUCAGGAGUGAAAACAGCAUACGAAAAAUAGAACUAUGUGUUAUUUAUUGACUUAAUAAUUUUGUGAUCUUUUCAAUUUUGUUAUUUCAACUUAUGUUUUUUGCUGUCUUUCUGACCUUUCAGUUUUCUCCUAGUCUUUAUAGGAACCUAAAAUCACUCAUUGUAACUCUGUUCUUUGGAUUCAAGAUCUUAUAUGAAAUGCAUAGCAUGAAAUUGAAUUAGAAGAUUAACUGAUUGUAAUAGAAGAUUUGCAAUUACAGAGCCUGACCUUUGUAACACAGCCCAUAACAUUUUGAAUUAAUUCCUACUGGAAUUGGAGCACAUCUUUUAGAUAAACAUGCAGGCAGUCUCAAUUUUAAAAGCAGUCAGUGACGAAGAUUUUACCAUAGUUUUUCCUCUCAGGUAAAAAUUUGCAUUUUACUUCUAAUAACUCUGUCAGUUUUGAGUUUAAUAAUGACAUUGUGAUACUCUAUACCUGUCAAUCUCUGAAUUUUUCUUUAUUAUGGCCAGUAGAAGAAUGUAUUUGUAAGAAGUCUAUUUUGUAAUGCAAAUAGACAAUAUGCUCCACAGGAAGACACUGAAUUCCAGCUUUCACUCUGAUCCUCUCCUUGUGCUUUUCAAAAUGCCACUAGCUUGCAACUUAUCACAUCAAUUACUUCAGGACUGGAACUUUCCAUGCUUGGGGCUGAGCUCCAUUGCACACACAGUCCUCUCCACACUCAUCAUGGAGAAUCACUGCAAGAAGGCAGCAGGAACGAUUUCCUGCUGGCAGAUUGAUACCACCCUCCCCAAGGAUGGAGGCUAAGCCAUGGAGCUUUGACACAGGAGUGCCAUAGACUGGGCACAAGUAAACUGGUUAUUGGGUACAUCUCUUCCAUGUUUGAACUUAAAAACUAACACCUGGAAAACUGUAAUGGGAAUCGGAUCUCAGUCUUUCACUUCAGAAGAGAAGAGCAAUGUUUGUUUCCAAAACAGAUUCAUAUGUUAUUUUGGUAGCAUAUGGUCUUGUUUUAUGAUGUAUGUUGGCAUUUCUUGGGAUGGGAAAUGUAAUACAAACAUGACUGAUCAGGAAAAUUGUUCAUCAAAGAGAGAAACUAGAAGAAAGAAUUGGUGUAUUUAGCUCAUUGUACAAACUAGCAAGGUACUUACUGAAAAGCACAGUCCUUUGCUCAGUUUAGGUGGCCAGUGUCAAACUCUCAGGUUUUCAGUAUUUGAUAUUCUUCCCUAAAAACUACCUUGUAGGUUUUCUUCUUUACCUUUUUAGUUAAUUUUGGAAAGAAAAAUAAUAUCAAUUACUUUUUUUCAGCUGUCCCUUUUUUCUUUUAAACACAGUGGAAGCAGAACUGUCAAGGAAUGAUUGGGUCAAACUUCGAAAGGUGGCCACCAAGCCUGAAGAAGAAGAAGAGAUCCCCCGACCAUGGGCAUCAUACUCUUCCCAACGAGUGCUUCAGGGAAGCGAUGACCUGAGGUAAAAUGCACUCAUCGCUUCUAAAAGCAGAAGACUGGCACUCUCAACUCAACCCAAAGUGACAUUGGAAGGAUAAGCAUAAUUUAAUGGGAAAAAGCACCAGAUGUGUCUAUGAGAAGACAGAGGCUGUUUGCAUUUUGUAUGUGCAAUGGAUGCAUGGGAUACCACAUGACAAGGAAGAGGCUAAAGUGUCAUUCUGUCUUAGGUGAAUAAAAGUGGCUCCACUCCAAUUUAUAUAUUAGCCCCCCGGGAAUCUUCCUGUGCUCUAUUUCACCGCUCCAGGGCAGGACUCAUCAGGAAAGCUCUUCUGGUGGACAAGAUAUAUUCCUACAGAUAGCAAACAUCAAUCAGCCCUUUAAGACAUUCUGGCAUCAGGGAAGACACAGCUUCUUUGAACACAGCAGCCCAUGCUGAACUCCAGCUGAGUAUAGGCCCAUGAAUGGACAUGAGCAAUGGACCAACGUGUUCAAGGAAAUCUGUGUUGCUAAGCAGACAGGAUGAUGGAUGUUAAACUGUCAGUAGAUUUCACUCGGUAUAUUCCCAGGAAUAAGUAGUCACAUUAGAAUUGAUUACGAUUCCCCUUAUCUCCAACAAUGCAAAAUAGAUUUAGGAACCCAUAGAUAACCAGAGCCAUUGCCCAUGAGGACUCCACAGAAAUGUGUUUGAUCUGCAAUUGACUUGCUCAGAAUACUAUUAGGAACAGGUUUUUCACUUUCCACAUGCAUUCUACUAUAAAAAGAAGACCUUUUUGUAACCUUGGAGAAUGCAGAGAAUCCAGGAAAACCAGCUCCAUACUUGAAUAGAACACAGCACAGGUAAACAUUGAGGUAAGGUUGAACUUCAGGAGAGAUGGAUUUAACUCAUAUCUCUGAUUUCUUGCCUAUUUUAUGGCUGUUACUUCACACUUUGUUUCAGUCUACACCCUAGAUAAAUUAUUGCAUUUCUUCUAGUUCUUGUUCACAUUCUCUGUUCAAAAUAUGGUUUCUGCCAUUAUUAUCACAGAAGAAAAAUGCAUUAACUGUGACAUCUGUACACAAACUCUUUGGUGACUCCAGUUCAUAGUUCUGCUAUCACAAUGAAAACCAGAAUCUGAUGACACUCAGUGCAAAGCAAAAGAGUAGUGGUAUGGAAAUAAAGAGUGAUAAUCAGAAUCCUUUCAAAUGACAUUGCAUACCAGAAAAACAAAACCCAUAAAGCUCUCACUUUUUUUAAUAGCAGCUGAACCAUCUGCCAGUGGCAAAUUCAUCAACCAGUACCAUCAGAUUUACUGGAACACUUAAGCCAGUGUAUCAUAUGAUAGCAGAGGUACUGAUAAACAUGAUGGAGUCAGUAGUCAGAUCUUCCUAAUUCCUAUGCUUCAUCAUCAUCCAUCAUAGUUAGAUAUUUUCUAAGCAUUCUGGACAUGAACUGAUGCAGUUUCAAUUACCAUUCAAAUAUUAUAUUGCUCAAGUUUUUAUUAUCCACCCACAAUAUCCAUCUAUUGAGGGGCUCUGAUCCUAGCUAUGUGCAUUGCUGUAAGCUUCAAGUCUUUCUUCCAGCUCUAUUGAGUUACUACUAGCAGUACCACACAAAUUUAAAGUUCAUUAAUUUUGU